rnacentral:lncRNA from 1 species
UUCACACUAACUGCCUUGUUCUCUAUUGAGGUUAUAGUUGUGGUCACCGUGGACACUGCUGCAGAUGAUCCGAGCUCACCAGAACUAGCACGAAUCACCACACAGGAGGAGGACUUUUUCUUAUUAUGAUCAUUUUGACGGACAGGAUGGCGUGGAAGGAUGUUGAUGAGGGAGGGGCUUCCAUGCCUGAUCAGAUCAUUGGUAUGAAUGGAGGAUUUUGGUAAGAGAGAGAAGGAUGGAGCAUGGUUGAGUUUUUGCAGCUGAGAGUUCAUCAUGUUUCUCUGCUAGUUUGCCUUUUCUAUUGCCAGAAUUGUCCAUGCAUUUGUAGAGAUUUAUAGAGAGAGAGAGAGAGAGAGAGAGAGAGAGAGAGAGAGAGAGAGUAAUGUGUUGUAAAACAUGGUGAACAUGUUUGGAUCUAGCUAGGUAGGUGUGCCGCUUGAAUAAGGGAAGAAAUUAACACGAGAAAUAUAGAAAAGAAAACGAUUGGUCUUAUCAAGGAUUAAAAGAAUACUACAAAGUAGCGGUAACUAAUUGGUCCCCUCCGUUCCAUGAUUCUUUUUUCACUUUCACAUGGCAUCCCUUAAUGCCUUAGCGGAAGGAAGAGGGAGAAGGGCUUUUUCAAAUAGUCUCACUCAAGAUAAACCGGAAAAGGGUUGUGAGUGUUUUGUUGUUGUUUGUAUUUUGUAAAAUCUGGAGCAUCUAAGUAAUCCACGGGUUUAAGAUUGGACACAUUAAUAUUUUUGCCUUCUGCAAUUGAAAUUGACAGGAAGGUGCUGUCGUUAUACAUCUUUCAAUCUCAUUUCCGAAAGAUUCUUAUCAAGUUAUCAUCUCAUUUUCUCAGUAAAUAUGACUUUAUAAAAUAAACAGGACAAAAAAUUAGUGUGUUUUUGGGAGCAAUUAAAUAUAGAAACUGUGAGUGUGCCCAUGCUCGUACGCCUUUUCCAUUUUUCACAAAAAAAAAAAAAAUAUAUCUCAUGCCCCCACUGUCCAAUUUUUUAUUGUUUCCUUUGUAAAUGUUGAAGAGUACUAAUUACUUAAAUGCCAAAAAAUUAAAAAGUCUGGAGUGAAAUCCAAAGUUUAGAUAGAGAAAACAAAUAUUAUAUGAAAGAGAAAAACUGAGGAGAAAGUUGACAAUUGUAAGGUCAUGAGUUGUACAUACGCACCACCAUUUAGUCACAUGAUGAAAUUAGAAUAUAUCCCGUCUCUUGGCUUGGCAGUAUUAUCGUGCCAAAAUGUAGAUGUGAUAAAAAACGGUUUUCAUCCAUAAAAAUUAUUAGAUAUAUACCAGGAAGUAAUGCCAAUUAUAUUAUCGUUCUAUUUGUGCAUGUUAUUGGAAUUCAAUUCUAUAGAAUUAUCUUUGAUCUCCAAAAGGUUUUUUUAAAAGAAAUUUAAAGAGAAAAUUCACACAUACACGGGUACUAUAAAGAAUUGAACUCGUGACCACUGGAACACACCAAAAAUUUGAGCCAAUUCAACUAACAACCUAUUAAUAACCAAAGAUAUAGUACUGGUUUGGGAAUGAUUCUCGAUAUUCUAUAAUUAGUUCUUAGGAGAACCAUCUCUUAUGUGUUUUUCCAUAUAAUCACUUUAAGUGAAUUUAAGGACCAGUUUGGCAUUGCUGUGCUGUGAAAAUAAUAGUUGUCAGUAUGAGAGAAAGCAGUUUGGCGUUUGGUAAAAAUUUUGUUAAAAGUAUUGUUGGUAUUAAUUUCCGCAUUAUCAGAAAAUGAUUGCCGCAUUAUUAUUAAACACAACACCUCUUCGAAACUGAUUUAUGCAUAAUUAGAAAAUGAAAGCACCUCAUUAGCUACUUUCCCUUAUAGCUUUCUCUCACAUCAAUUUUUAACAAUAAAUUAUUUUAUCAUAGUUUACCAAACGGGUUGGGCUUCCCAAUUUUUUUUUUAAAAAAAUCACUUAUCACCCCAAAUAAGCAAUGCCAAACGGGCACUAAGUGAUUCUAGGCAUAAACAUUUCCUAUGUGUUUCUCCAUAAAAUCAUUUAAAACUACUUGAAGUGAUUAUUCAUAAAAGUGUUUUUUUGCCUAUCCAAAAUCACUCCAAAACGAAAUAUAGUAUAAAUAACCACUCCUACCUUUAAGCCGUCUCAAUUUCAAUAAUUUUUUUUGGAAAAAGUUUCUAAUUCAAUCAUUGAAUAUAUAAAUGGCUAUUUGCUCCGGGUUAAGUCAUAAUCUUUAAAAUAGUAAAAUUGCUAUACGUGCUUUUGUUUAGCUUUUUUAGUAUUAUUAUAUAUUUAUUAUUAUUAUUUUCUGUUGAUUUGAACAUAAAACAUAUAGCUGCAAGACAAACAUGUCAAAUAGGUAAGUGCAAAACAAAGAUGUAAAAUAUUAUUUUAUUACUUACGUACAACCUUGGUGUAGUUUGAGGUUGACAUUAAGAAAGGAUCCAUGGAUUAGUGGAAAAUAAUAUCGGAACAUUGAAAGCAAGAACCACGUUCACCUUUUAUUUAUUAUUAAUUCAACCACCAAUCCCAGUUGAACAAUGUGCUGAGUAAUAAAAUAAUAAGCUUAAGUUUAUCUUCAUACUAUUCCUUAACUGUUUUUAUUUAUUUAUUUAUUUUUUAAAGGAUAUUUUCUAUUGAAAUGGUCAAUAGUAUAUUAAACUCACACACACAACACAGAUGUUAGGACUCGAAUUUAAAACGUUGCUUGAGAGAAUAAAUACUUUAAAUCACUACACUAGUGAGUCCUUUAUUUUAAUAUAUUUUAAUAUUUAAUAAACCUUUUUAUCCCGACUACUAAAUUUCCCGAUUUUUCAUACUAAAGGUGUAGUUUUGUCCAUAUCUCAUUAAUCUCAAUCUAAAGGCCCAUAUCCUUUGGUGGACACAUACACCAAAGGACUGUAGAAUUUUCCAUAUCCCCAAUACUAUUACUAUAGUCUUCAUAUUAUAAUACAACCAUAAAUCUUUUAAAAGGAAAAAUGGCCAUACAAAACAAGAUAUUAAUAAUAUGGGUUUAUAUUUAAUAUAUAUAAAAAAGACUUGGCUUAAACCUAAUAAAAGACAAAGCUUUUGGGCUUAAAUAUAAAGAUUGCUAGUCUUCAUAUCAUGAUUGCUGGCUUCUUUAUUUUAUUUUUUGAGAGAAAGCGAUCUUUAUUAAGAGAUAAGAAUUACAUCAGUAAUGGUUUGUGGAGGGUCCCAAAACCAUGAAGAUGCAUCCUCUACUAAGCAUGCCUAGCCAACCUAUCGAAGAGUGUUUGAGCAAACAUCUCUCCAAUAAUGAGAAAAGCAUGCUUUCCAUGUCGAGAAUAUUAAAGUUGGUGCAUUACGCAAUAUCUUUGUAGCAUCUUAAGGGGUAUGAAAUUCAAACUUCUAAAGAGAUUUAGAAUUUAAAAGUACGGAUAUAUUAAAUCAAGGUACCUCUUUUCUUUAUACUCAAGUUCGAAUCUCCGUCCUCAUAUGUUAGAUUAAUUUAGAGUAAUUUAGACUAUCGUGUGUAUUAUUUUCAACAAACCCUAUAAAUCAUCCUUCUGGUUUUGGCUGAAUGUGCUUGCUUCCAAAUUUAAUCACGUGUAAUUGAACAUGAUCAUGAAUUUCACAAUUAAAACAAAAAUUACUCAUGGUACCUUCAUUUUUGCAUAUUUUUUUUAUAAAAAAAAUUAAAUUUUAUAAAUACUUGGAUUUUUUUGGUUAGAUUCAUUAUUACUUUUUAAAUUUUAAAUUUUAUUUUAUACAAGUUUGAGAGAGGAGGGAAUCGAACACAAAAUCUUGAGUGCAAGAAUAACACACUUAAUCACUUGAGUUACAACCCUUUUGCAUUUAUUAUUUUACCUUUAAUAAAAGUUUCAUUUUUUUUUAUUAUUUAAACCGAUAGCCAUAAUGUACACCCAAAUGGACAUUGUAUUAUAGUUGGCAUAUGAGGGUUAGGGGUUUUGAACACUAAACCUCCUCAAGCUAUCAGUAAAUGGUACGUCCAGAACGUUUAUUACAUAAACAAUGAUACUUCCCAAAAUUAACAUUCUUGCGAAAAUCAAAGAACCUAAUUGAUUUCAUGUUUUAUAAAGCAAGGAAGGAUGUAUGGUUGCAUUAAGAAUGUUUAAUAUGAUAUCAAAACUAUUCAAUAGUACUUGUCUGCAAAAAAGAUUUCUAAAUCCUUACCAUCAAACAAUGUGGCAGAUUAUAUAUAUAUAUAUAUAUUGGGAGAAACGCUUGUAUUGGGAGAAACAUUCGUGUGAAAUGAGGAUAACAUUAUUUUGUUAUUUUGACUAAUUACGUUAUGCAUAUAUAAUAAAUUUGCCAUUUGACACAUCGUGAUUGACAAAGAAUAACAAAACAACUUAAUGAAUUAAUAUUAUUGUUACCUACGUCAUCUCAGAUGUAAAAUUUGAAAUUCGAAAUGAUGUUAUGUAAACGCAUAAAAAAAGUUUAUGUGGUCUUUCUGGCAAAAAGCAUGGCACUGCGUAAAGGUCAGUUUCUUGUUGAUGAGGUCUGACCGACACAAAUGAAUGAUUGACACAACGAGCCAAAUGCAUGUGGUAGUAACUGUAAAAUGAUAUGGUCCCCGAUUUUGAUGAGAAUCGUGUAGGUUGUGCGUAAAUUCAUAUACAGUAGUAGAUGUCUCAUAAUCAGAGAAAGCACCAACCAACCCACUCUACAAUGCGAGAAAAACUUUCCUGGAAUGGGUAUGUCAAAGUAAAGAAAUGCUAGUAACUUUCUUUCUAAUUUUUUUCUUUUUUUACUUGACAUGUGUUAUUUUCUUUACACUUAAAACAAUGUUAUUAAUAUAUUAUACAAGUUAACUUUUGCUUUCAAACUUUACCCUUAUUAUUUUCUGUUAAUUUGAACAUAAAACAUAUAGCUGCAAGACAAACAUGUCAAAUAGGCAAGUGCAAAACAAAGAUGUAAAAUAUUAUUUUAUUACUUACGUACAACGUUGGUGUAGUUGAAGGUUGACAUUAAGAAAGGAUCCAUGGAUUAGUGGAAAAUAAUAUUGGAACAUCGAAAGCAAGAACCACGAUUCACCUUUUAUUUAUUAUUAAUUCAACUACCAAUCCCAGUUGAACAACGUGCUGAGUAAUAAAAUAAUAAGCAUAAGUUGAUCUUCAUACUAUUCCUUAACAUAUUUUAAUCUAUAUAUAUAUAAAAUAAAAGACAGAAAACGGUGAAACAUUCAAAGGAUCAGAAAAUGCCAUUAAUUAAUGCAAACAUUAAGAAUUGAAAUUUAUAAUUAAAUGAGAAUAAUAUGGUAAAUUCACACUUUUUCAUAUUAAAAAAAUUAAAAUUAAAAGAAAAAUCAGAUAAUAUAUCAUAUUUUUAUGGAACACAACUACCCAUUAUCUUUUUUAAUUUUAAAAAUAAAAUAAAAAAUAAAAAAGAAAACCAAUUGACACAUGCGCAAAGAGCUAGAAUUUAAUAAACUUUCUUACCCCGACUACUAGGUUUCCCGAUUUUCCAUACCAAGAGUGUAGAUUAGUCCAUAUCCCACUAAUCUCAAUCUAAGAUCCCAUAUCCUUUGGUGUACCCACACACCAAAGGACUAGAGAAUUUUCCAUAUCCUAUCCCCAAUACCAUUACUAUAGUCAUCAUAUUAUAAUAGACUUGGCGAAUUUUGUCUUGUUUGUAGGUGGAUUAUGAUUGAAGAAGACUUGGGUUAAGAUUUGGGCUUGAAUAUAAAGAUAGCUAGUCUUCAUAUCAUGAUUGCUGGCUUCUUUAUUUUAUUAUUUUAUUUUAUUUUUUGGGAGAAGCGAUCUUUAUUAAGAGAUAAGAAUUACAUCAUAUCAUGAAGAAGUACAUGAGCAAUGGUUUAUGGAUGGUCCCAAAACCAUAAUAUAUAUAUUGGAGACGUUUGUAUUGGGAGAAACAUUUGUGUGGAAUGAGGAUAACAUUGUUUUGUUAUUUUGACUAAUUACACUAUGUUAUAUAUAAUAAAUUUGUCACUUAACAUAUCGUGAUUGACAAAGAAUAACAAAACAACUUAAUGAAUUAAUAUUAUUGUUACCUACAUCAUCUCAGAUCUAAAAUUUGAAAUUUGAAAUGAUGUUAUGUAAACGCAUAAAAAAGUUUCUGUGCUCCUUCUGGCAAAAAGCAUGGCACUGCGUAAAGGUCAGUUUCUUGUGGAUGAGGUCUGACCGACACAAAUGAAUGAUUGACACAACGAGCCAAAUGCAUGUAAUUGUAAAAUGAUAUGGUCUCCGAUUUGAUGAGAAUCAUGUAGGUUGUACGUCAACUCAUAUACAGUAGUUGAUGUCUAGGUGAUCAGAGAAAGAAACCCAUAACUCAUAUACAGUAGUUGAUGUCUAGGUUAUCUAUCAUCUCUCCCUCUUCUCACCAGCUCACCCACUCAUCUCUCCCUCUUUUCCCUUGCAACUUUUAACACAGGAUUUCAAAUACUAAUUUAAAAAACAUCAAUUUUUAUCAAUAAUAAUGCAAACCAAUCGAUAUAUGCGACUAUGACAAAAAAUAUCAGAAAGAUGAAGCUAGCUGGGUAAUAUAUAACAGAAGAAAUUCAAAGAAUACCAUAAUCUAGCCAAUUAUUAGAAUUCUAAGAAUGAAGAAAAAGAGAACUGUUAACCCUUUUAAAACGAAAUAAAUGUUUGAGGUGGCUGAUAUCAGAGCUAGUAAGAUGAGAGAGAACAAGUGGAGAUUUGAGUUGCAGGCAAGAGAGGGAGAGAGAAGAAGAGGGAUUUGAGUUGCAGAGAAUAACGGACGACGGACCAGGCGUGAAAAAGGAAAAAAUUAUAGUAGUUCACAGUUGUCAGGAGUUAAUUAGUUGGAGAUACUGAAGUGGAAUGCUUACUUUGGCAUACCCGUUCCAGGCAAGUUUUUCUCGCUCUCUAACAGACUUCCAUCGUAAAAAGGAGUCUAAUUUUCCUGUGCCCCCCAUUUCCUUCGUGGUAUUGUGACAUGUGGCACAUCUUUUAACAACAUUUUAACAAUGUUAACUCUUCAGAUUCAUACCAUUUAUUUUUAUUUAAAAAAUGAAUAAAUUACUCAAAUGAUCUUCAAAUUUGUACGCGAUUUAUAUUUUAGUUUCUAAAUUAAAUUAUUAGUCAAAAUGGUACAUAAACUCUAUUUUAAUCGCCCAUUUGAUCCAACCGUUACAUUCUAUCAAUGUUGCUGUUAAAUAUGAGAGUAAAUUGGUCAUUUCGUACAUUAAAAAUAAAAAAAUACUGAAAAAAAAUAAAAACUCUCUCUCUCUCUCUCUCUCUCUCUCUCUCUCUCUCUCUAUUCCCCUGUAACACCCCGACCCCAAAUUUAACCCUUAUUUAAUUAUUUAAUUAUUUAAGGGUAUUUUAGUCAUAUUUUUAACCGGGGAGAGUUUGGGACCGUGACUUGUAUUUUUGGAUAGGUCGUACUGAGAAGAGUUCAUAGACACGUAGUGGGCUCAAAUCGGAGUUGUAACGAGAGAGAUAUGGUCAAAAGAAGCCCAGUGGCACAAUCGUAAAUAUUUCGAAAUGGAAUUUUUUUAUAAAAAUCUGGUUCUCUCUCUCUCUCUCUCUCUCUCUCCCCCGCGGGUCUCUCUCUCUCCUCUCCCUCGCGCACGACAGCCGGCCACGUUUUGGCCGGCCGUGCUCUCCUCUGGCCACCAAUGACGACGGAACCGGUACCAAAAUGACCGGGCCGUCGUCCUCUUCCUACCCCAGCCACCUCCCGCCUCCAGCCGCCGUGGAUUCGCCGGAAUUUGGAGCUGAAGCGGACGACGUCGUCCAAACUUCAAAGCCGCCGAUCUCCCUCCUCCGGCCACCAAUUCCGUCGAUCCAGGUAUGGAUUUUGAACCUCUCGAGCUGCUCUAGCUGAUGGUUGGGUAGGAUUAGAUCGAUUCUUAGCGUAGCUAACUCAAUUUUUGAAUUGAAAAUUGGCCGAAACUUCAGCCUCCGUGAUCGGCCAAUUCCGGCCACUUUUUGGGGUAGGUCCAAGAACAAAAGUGGCUCCAAAUAGGGUGUUAUACCUAGGGUAGGAGUUUGGAGCAAUGGUUUAGAGAUUUUCCGGCGAAGCGUUAUCGCUUUAGGCACCCACGCGCUGCCAGGGCGUGUGGCGGCGCGUGGGCACUGUAAAAAAAGUAGCAAUGUGUUCCGAUGAGAUCCUUAGGUUGUCACGAGUGCGUAGGAUUUCGCGGAUCUCAAUUCGGACGUCGUUUGACUAUCGAACGGAUAAUUGCAUAUUAUGCGUUAUCCGGGUUCGAUAGGUUGGGACCGUCGGAUGGUCCCAAAUUUAAUAUAUGUUAAUCUAGGUAUUUCUAGGAUCGUGUAGGAAUUCACGGAUCGUGAAUCGGAGCCCCGGAUGUUCCGAAUAAUAAUUUAAAGUUUAUAUUUUAUAUUAACCGUCAGAUUAUGCGAUCGUGAGAAAUCCGACUGUCUGAUCUGAACCAAACUCGCAGGACAAGUGUCCUAUACCUGGUAGAACCCAUAGGGACUUUCGAAUCCGAAAUUGGAAGUCGUGGGUUCUGCAGGUCCGUUUGACCAGGGUUAGAGUAGUUUGACCCUUGGUUGAUCGUGAGUCUCCCGGAAUAGUCUCACCCUUCCAGGGGGAUUAUCGGGAGCUAGACUAUUGUGGAGGGUUACACAAUAUAAGAAUUAAUUUAUAUAAAUAUAAUUAUAUGUGGUUGUACAAGGGUAUGACAGAGUCUAGAAUGUCAGUUUGGAGUGCUAUACGCACUACCGUAGGUACCUCCUCAGACGUUGGAUUCACUACAAGUACCACCAAGUGAAAGUUAGGUCCCACGUGGCGUAGAUUAUCCGACGUUGGGACAGAUCCCAUACGUGGCGUUGGUUGUACCGGCGUAUGGGGAGCUAUAUAAUAUGAUGUUCAGGUCUCACGUGACGUAGGUUAUCCGGCGUUGAGACAGGCCCCAUACGUGGCGUUGGUUGUACCGGCGUAUGGGGAGAUUAUGUGAUAUUGUGUUGAGGUCGCACGUGGCGUAGGUUAUCCGGCGUGUCGACAGACCCCAUACGUGGCGUUUGUUGUACCGGCGUAUGGGGAGAUUUGUGAUAUGAUAUUGAGGUCCCGCAUGGCGUAGGUUAUCCGGCGUUGGGACAGGCCCCAUACGUGGCGUUGGUUGUACCGGCGUAUGGGGAGAUAUUAUGAUAGUAUGGCAUGGUCGCCGUGGCGUAGGUUAUCCGGCGUGUUGACAGGCUCCAUAUGUGGCGUUGGUUGUACCGGCGUAUGGGGAGAAUAUGUGAAAUACAGAGAAAUGAAAUAAGGCAUCGCCCAAGUGUGGAAUUGGGUUUUUAGGGAAGAACUACGUGUGGCUUGAUCCCUCAAGGAGGGUACGUAGGCAGCCUAAGGUUAUUAGGUGCAGCCGCAGACUAAAUAUUAGUCAUUUUGGUAUUUGAAUUGUUUGGUAGUUGUUUGAGAAUUAUUGGAAGGCCGAAGGCCAUUUAUGAGAAUUUGCAUGAAAUUAUAUUGUGCAUGCUGCCAGUUGUGUAUAUUAAAUGCGUUUUUAUGCAGGUUGAAAUUUUGGGAAAUGUCCAAUUUAUAGGGGAGACUCUGCCGAAUUUUCGGCAGGAAGUCUCGGUUUUUAGUAAGUGGGCCUGCAUCGGGGUGAUGUCAGGAAUUCCAAAGGGUUCGUCUCGGGUUUUGAGAAAAUUCGGGGCGGGUCCUUAAAUCCCCCAUGGCCACCACCCUCAAACUCCAACCCCCAAACCCAUCCCACAACCACUCUCCACCCAAACCCAUCCAACAACCACCCUCCACCCAAGCCAGCAACUACAGAAAAAGAAAAGAAAAAAAUCUUCCACAAACCCCCUCCUAACGAACCCAGUCACUUUUUUGCCUCUGUUGAUCCUCUUCAGCUCCACCACCAUUUUCACCAUUGCCCACCUGCUUAAGAGCUUUCCUCUUCCUUUGCGUCUCUUCAGCAAUCUUCUCCAUCCUCCUUUGGGUCCUCGCUCCUCAGCAGCAGCAGCAAGUAGACAUACCGCUUCAGCUUUUCACACAAACCAAGUUAUUGCACCAAGAAAUGAUCAAAACCCCACCUUGGAAAAUGAAACAAAACAGCCAACUGUUAUCAAAAUCGAAAUACUUGCAAUAGGCCAAAGAGCAGAAGUAGUGAGUCUACGGCAAUCAGAAAGAUUUAAAGAUCACAACUAACGAAAGGCUCCUAUGUAUGCAAUCCAUUCGGCUUCAACAUAGCUCUCCCCUCUCAGAUCAAGCUCCUCUAUGCUGUGUUUGAAUAAUCUACACCAUAUGCCCACUACCCAUUUCAAUUCCAUGUGCAAGUAAUCGAAUAGAUUAGACACGAGUUUCUCGGGAAACAAACAGAAGAAGAAAAAAAAAGGUGAGAAACGUACUCCAGCAAGGAAGGGAAGAGGAACGCAAUAAUUGGAGAGGUCUGUGGGAAAUGGGGGAGAAGAAAUCGAAUGGAGGGGCUCAUGAUUUUUUUUUUCUUUUUCUUCAAUUAUUUUCUAAUUUUGUAUUUAUUUUAACCCUAUUUUAUUUGUUAAUUAUGAAAGUUCGUAUUUACUCUAAAAUUUGGUUAAAUUUAACAGAAAAUUAGACCGUAGGACCAAUGGAGUAAUUAAUAUAUAGUUUAUGUACCAUUUGGACUAAUAAUUUAAUUUAGGGACCAAAAUAUAAAUCGCGUACAAGUUUGAGGACUAUUUGAGUAAUUUACCCUUAAAAAAUUAAUUAAAAUACAUGUUUGACCCAAACACGUUCUCUCUCCUCUUCAUCUUCUACCUUGCAUAUCAUUAGGGGUGGUUGCGGUUCGGUAACUGCAAAUUUUUGCCAAAAUCGCAAACCGACCGACUAUUUGUGGUAUGAUGAUUUUUGAAACCACAAACCGACGGCACAUUUUGCUGUUUACCGCAUUGCAGUAAACUGCAAAAAGCGGUCGGUUACCAUGAAAUAGAGGUUUAAAACCGCAAGUUCUUUUUGUGUCAUAAAAAUCCAAUCUUCCACAUUUUAGGCCUAGUUUUGAUGCUUCUUUUGAAGCCUUUUGAGUUCAAGCAUACUUUAACCCAAAAAUAUAAAUUCACAACCUCAACUUCUCAAGCAUAUAUAAAUUCACAACCUCCUCAAUUUCUCAAGCAUUCACAACCUAAAGAAAAUUAAAGUUAUAAUUCCAAGCAUUCCAAUUAAAGUUAAACUUCUUAAGCAUUCACAACCUCAACUUCUCAAGCAUUCCAAUUCCAAAUCCUUUAAAGUUACAAACCAAAAGGAAAAUGCAAUACAAAAUGAAUUAAAGUUACAACCUAAAGGAAAAAUCCAAUUCAAAGUUAAUUAAAGUUACAAACUAAAAGGAAAAUGCAAUGCACCAAUGUUACAAACUCAAGUGUUGGUGGUGGUGAGUAGAUUUGAAGGACCCCGUUGUAUUGUUUGAGCACCAAUGCUAUCUACAAAUAAAACAACAUAAGUUUAGUACAUUUUAUUAUAAAAAGAAGCAUAAAUAAACUAAUUAUUUUACAAGAUAAGUGGUUUUGUUAUACAACGACUACGAUUAAACAAUAAAAUGCAAUAUUUUUUUUUAAAAAAAUAUAGUCGCGGUUUGCGAUAACCGCAAGUUGUGAAAUCAAAUACCACAAUCGCAACCGCAAAUGCGGUUCGGUUCUUCAUACCGCAAAUGCGGUUCGGUUUCCCGCGAUUGCGGUUAAAUAUCAGUUGGUUUUUGCAAUUUUUCAGUCUAAAAUGCCACCCCUACAUAUCAUCAUACUCAACCCUUGCAUCAUCUUCGCCUUGCAAAACUCAGCCCCUGCAUUUGGUCGAUAAUUUUUUUGCUCAUUAAAUGUUGUUGCGUCAGGUAAGCCAGGUUCUACUUCAUAAUUUUCUCCCCCUUUUUGACUUCUGAUUUUGGAGCUAUCAUAUGAGAAACACUAAAACAAAUAAUUUGCGACAACAUAUGAUAUACCCAUUAUGCAAUUCAUGAGAAUCAAACUCAUUUGGUUUCAAAUUUUUUUUUUUCCAUAAAAGAAAAUAAAAAAGAUGAUUGUAACAUAACUUGCAUAUUGCAAAUUUCUAUGAAAACUAGCCAGUGCCAAUGUCGAGCAGAUAAUUCACGAGCUUCUGGCAAUUCUUUCAUCCUCUUGAGUCUUUCUUUCUCGCUCGUCUCAAUUCACAAUCACCAUUGGAAGGAGUUUAUAAUUUUUCCACUUUUUGGGUACUGGUUUUGGAGUCAUCCUAUUAGAACUUUCAAUUUGUUUAUACUACGGUAGAUGAAAACAAAAAGGAAACAAAGAUUGAAACCAAAUAAAUUGCUUAGUGGGUAUGUGAGUUAUUUGUUCAAAAAGUUCUCACACAAUGGCUCCAAAACCAGCAGCUAAAAAGGAGAAAAAAAAAUUAUGAAGGGGUUGAGUAUGAUAAUAGGUAGCACAGAAGAUGAAGAUGCAAUAUCGAGUUUGUGUCAAACGUAUAUUUUAGUAGUUUUUAAUUAUUUUAAUAAAAACAAAUGGGCUAAAGGGGAGACUUUGGAAAAGCCCAAAGGAGAGAGAAAAUUUUUAAAAGAAGCCAAAAUAGACAAAAUUGCCCUUAUUUUUUUUUUGAUUUCCUAAGGAAUCCUUUACAUUUGCAUGUCUUUGGUUUGAAAGUUGAGAGGUUUUUCUGUCUUUUUUGAAAAAGCUUUGGCUUUUUCCAAAAGUGAAAGUUUUUUUAUGGGUAAAACCUAAAUUUACUUAAAGAGGGGGGAGUUAACAGAGUUAAAAUGAUGUUAAGUGGUGUGCCAUGUGUCACAAAAUUAAAGAGAAAACAAGAGGGCACAGGGGAUUUGAUAACAAGAAAACUGGACUCCAUAGAAGGGAGGAGAAUCUAAGGAUCACCGUAUACGUGUCUCCAUCUUAGAGAAAGGAAACUGAAGCAAAUACAACAAUGCAAAAGUAAUUAGCUGUAGCAAGGGGUGCCCUAAAGGGCAUGGUCUCAUCAACUCCAUCCGUCCCAAUGACAAGGUUGUUCUCAGACUGGGGAAUUAAAAAUCUGGGUAGCGAGCUUGAGAAUCAAUAGCAUCCUCCCAAGUUGCACCUUCUGUUAGAGUAAAUGCAUAUUCGUUUGGUACACCGAAUUAGACUCUGGAUAGGAGUAAAUAGUCUAUGUCAAGUGUUUGGUGUCAACUUGUAUUAUUUAAUUACCCGACUAUUUUAUACGGGUUGGGCUUUUAAUACUCUCCUUACCUGACUAAUUAAUACAAUCCACACAGUCCGGUUUAGAUAAUACACGCUUAAUUAUACGGCUAAGCACGCGUUCUACGAAAAAAAAUCAAACGCUCUUUUCUUCUUCUUCUCCCUAGGGUUUUUCUUUGCUAUCUUCUCCAAAGGUUAUUUUCUUCACUCUUCUCCAGGUAUCCAUCUCUCACUCUCUCUCUCUCUCUCUCUCUCUCUCUCUCUCUCUCUAUCUCUCUCUUUCUCUCUCUCUCUUUCAUACUCUCUCCAAUAUGCUUCUUCUUGCUUCUUCUCUAUUCUUUAUAUAUUUCAAUUUUUUUAUUAAUUUUUUGUGGAAUUAGGUUAUGUAUUUUUCGUUUUUGAAAUUAGGUUAUGCUUACUUACAUGAAUGAAAGCUAAAUCGUAAAAGGACCUAUUUUACAAAUGAGAAACAUUGGACAUGGGCUUAAUGAAUGAAUUGCACAAUCCUAUUACCGAAGCAAAUUAAACCAUUUAAAUGAAUACACAAACUUCACAACAGUAGCAGCAACAGCAAUUGAGUCAUCACCAUUUUCCUUUGGUACCUUUGGUUACGAUUUCUUCUAUAGUGGGUUUGGUCUUGCGUUUGGGACAUUGUUGAUUGGUUAUGGGUGGUGCUGUCCGAAUUCCUUGUUUUAUGUUAUCUUAUGUAUUUUGUUUUUGUUUAGUUUUGAACUGGUCUGGGUGAGAAGCUUGGUUCUAGCCUUGGUUUUGAGGUCUAGGUGCCUCUACCCGGUUUUUGUGACUUGCUUUGUAAUCUAUUUUUUCUGGGUUUCUUUAAUGAGAUCAGAUUUCAACCCACACCAAAAAAAUAAAUAAUAAAAAAAAAAUAAGAGGAGGCUCUCUUUAUAAAAACCAACAUUGAUGUCAAUGAUGAUGAUGAGGAAGUUGAGGUUGAACCAGAUCAUUCUGCCUCUUUGCCAAUAUCAAAUCAACAAAACUCAGCUAGCUCAAGCAGUCGACACCGCAAACGAAAUGUAGAUACUGAUAUUCAAAAGGAAAUGGCUAAAGCAUUUGGUGAGAUGAUUUCUGAGUCUAUUGACCAAUUGAAAACUAUAACUAAUAGUUUGGUGAAAGGAUCAGAACCAAGACCUGACAUUGCUGCUAAAUUGGCAAAGAUGGACUUGUCUAUUAAUGACCAAAUUAAGGCACUACGGCUAAUUUUGGAGAAAGCAAGUGAUGAAAGAAUAUUCUUGACAUUGGAUGGUGCUAUGAGAAAAGCAUUUGUUCUUCUCUUACUUGGGGCGAGGGAGCUGUGAUUCACUCUUUGAUGUAGUUUGGUUUAGGAACAACUUUCCCUUUUGCUCUUAUCACCUUAGUAUGUGAUCACUUUGAAUUAUACAUUAUUUGGUACUGUUUUUAUUAACGUAUGCGAGUAUGUUGGAAUUUUUAUGAGAUACUACAAUUAUGAUAAUGGGUUAUAUGAAGGAAAAAAUAUUGGCAAAAAUAAUUGAAAAACAAAUCUUGUCAUAUGAAUCUUACCAAAAAAAAUUUGUGUAAUUUGAAUCUCUAUUUUCAUUAAAAUUAUCAAAGAAAUUUUUUUUAUUUUAAAAAUAGUCUGAUCUGAUGUUAUCCGAAACAUCACCAAACACAAUAUAACUUAGUCAGACUAUUUGUCCGGAACAGCACCAAACGCCUUAUAAUAUUAUGGAUAAAUAGUCAGUACUCUCCGGAACAAAUUAAUACUAUCCGACGAAAAUUAGUCAGUACAGUCCGACGUACCAAACGAGCCCUAAAUGCAGAGACUCAGGAUCCGCCUUCCACGCCAAAUGCAAAACAUGUAUACAAAAUGCAAGGUUUUGUUCUAAACAAAUCAGGAUUCAGGAGUACUUUUAAUCUUUAAAAAUGCUCCAAUUCUAAGAAGGAAAUUUUUUUUCAACCACCACUACUCACAAUAAAAUCUGGGUUUAGUUUGAUUGGGUCUUGUGCUUUUGCUAUUUUCCUCUUGAUUUUUCAUAUUAAUCAAACAUAGAUCUUGGAUAAGGAUUUUGGUGAAGAAGACAAUGGAGGGGAGAAGACUUGCAAGUGAUGAUUCAAGAUUGAAGAAAGCAAGCCAGAGAAGUCAUUUUUGUCGAGAUUUAUGAAGAUGCCUCCCCAGUUUGUAUUUAUUCUUAUGUGUUUAUUACAUAAAUUUGCACUCGUUCUUAUUUUUGUUAGAUAUUUUGAAUAGCAUCUAAUGCAAAAUAGUAGAUUUGUGGGCUCACCGAGUCUUUAUUUUUAUUUUUUCUUGUCUGAAAUCAGACUUGAGUUUGUUUGAGAGCACAACAAAUAAGCAAAGUUUGCUGGAAGGCAACGCCUGGUCAUUCUUUUGAUGAUUUCCAAAACUAAAUACCCAAAAUCAGAAAGGAGUGUGCAUGGAAUACCUCCAAUUCAAUUUAUAAGCCCACCCAAUAACCAAAGUAUAAAUUAGUCGUGGAGCACUCUUUUCAGAUUAUUCUUUUGAUUGAGCAUACCUAACUACUAGGAUUCAUAUAAUAAAUAGUCUAGUCCCAUUAACAUUUUACAGUUUUUAGAACAUGAUCAUCAAAUUUAGAUGGAGAUGCUGUUAGGAACUCCCAUUCCUGUGACCCCAGGUGUUGAGAAUGGCUUCAAAAGCUCAUAUGGAACAACACCUGCUCCAACUCUGUUUUUCAGUUUCAAGUUGGUAUUCCUCUCAUCAAUAAUUCCUUCCAGCCUCUUCAAAUUUCCAUUGAACCGCUCGAAUGCAGCAUUUAUCACAGGAUUUUCAGCCCAGGAUGACUCCAGCUUCUCACCAACAUACUCCUCAUCAGGUGAAUGAUUAGAUAACACAUCCAAGACAGCCAUCACUGUUGUUGCUUGAAUCUGUGAGGGGAAGCACAUCAGCAGUGCCAUUUCGGGUCUCUUCAAAAAGUUCUUGAAAAACUCCUCAGACGGAUUUUCAGUUGGCAUAUUGGUACGAGCGAUUGUAGGCUUGUUUGGGAAGUAUCCACCAUACAUGUACUGUCCAAAGUUCACAGCUGCAUGAUGCCCAGCUGUUACCCAAAUAAUGGUUGUCAAAAUGUGAAUUAGAUUUUCUGGGGUUUUCAAAACAGGCCACCAUGGCUCAUCUUUCUUGUCUGCAUGGCCUUUUGUCCUAACUUCUGUCCACCAACCUUGAAGCUCCGUAUCAGACUCAACAAGAGUUGGGUCUGGAUAGUAGUGGUUUACAUAGUCACCCACCCACUCCUUAAUGGCAUCCCAAAGAAUGAGACCGUCAUUUGCAAAUGGGUAGUCUUCAAUUGUUAGCUUCAAGCCAUGCUCAGCUGUAGGAUCCUCAACUGCCAUUCCCCUGAAAUUAAAGCACACAGUAAUUAGCCGAUGAACUUCCAUGGCGAUUCAAAUGAAGUUUUUGUCUUUUAAGAUUGGUAGCAACUAGAUUGCAAAUCAGCCGUAUCAUAUGAAAUACCUUCUGAUCAAAUCAGCCGGCAAAGCUUGCAUGUCAAAGCGCCAGAGCUGGUCAUAAGCAGCAGAACUGAGCUCCAUGGAGUACUUUGCAGGUGAGAAGCUGCUCUCGAUGACUCCACCUGCAUUGAUGAGGCUUUCUCUAGCAAGAGCAUUGAUUUCCAUUGUAUACCGAAAAUGAGGAUGCAGAAGUCUAUAGAUAGGAUGCAUUGCACUUAAUUGUCGAUUAGCUGCAAUUAUGUAUGGCUCUGUAGCACAAUGAGUCCUCAGCCUGUGAAAAUAUAACAGUGCAAACAUGUUACCAACCAUGCAACACUGACAUACUUGCUACUUUUCAAAUCCCAAUUAGAGUAGAUUCUUGCUUGAACUGAAGGCAUGAGCUAAAAGCACCACUUGGGCACAGAUUUGCUUACCAGUGGAUGACAAGCUGAUGAUAGCCAGCAUCAUGAGCACAAACAUGGGCUUUAGCGAGCCUCCACAGCCAGCGACCGGUGGCAUCCCAUGUUGGGGUGAACACUUGCUUCCAUUGUGGAUUGUCACCAACCGGUGGUCGAGUGAGUUCAAUGGCAACAGGCCUCAGCGUCCCAUCCUCGGUGAGGAAGAGUAGUGUCCGAGAACCAUACAGUGUGGUUCCUUCAAUCUCUCUUACUUUGUUCACAUAAGGCAUGUAAAGAUCAUGGUAAUCCAAAAUAAACAUCUUCUUUCUUUUUAAAGCCUGCAUUUCAAGUUCAAGCAAUUGGCGUGCACAAGGACACACACAGUUUACACGAUUUCAAGUUUUAUGCAUCAAUGGGGGAAAAUUUUCGUCCAGUUUAAAGGUGUGUAAUAAGAAAAAUAUAGGAGAGUUGGUGUCUAUUUCGUGUUACCUCAUCGACAGUCAUACAACCUCUGAUCUCUUUCUCCACCAGUUCUGUUGUAAUCAAUGAUUCAGGUGGGCCGUAAAUCUCAGGGUCAAGUUUACUCUUCAAUGGCCACUCCUGCAGGUAUAAAAAAUGAAAAAUACAGAAUUUAGCACCACAAGAGAAAACAAGAUAUGCUAUUAAACACUGUAAUUACUUGACCAACAAGGAGGAUGGACGGGAGGAAGGGAACGUAGAAGUUUGAUUUUCUUACUGAAGAGAAAGAGUUGUACUUGUAUGUAUAAGAAAGCAUACCGUGACAAGUUCUAUACUGUAUGGAUUAAGACCAGCUAGAGUUUGCCGAGAAAAUUCUUCAUCUCUAAACCAAGCAAACCUAUCACCUGUAAAAGACGAUUAGCUUAAUCAAAAGGACAAAGACAAUCUGGUCUUUUCUCUUACUUAAAAAAGGACACAGACAUACAUACACAGAGAGAGAGAGAGAGAGAGAGAGAGGAGGAAGGCAUACGGUUAAUUAUUUCGGGGGUCUCGAAGAGCAAAAUAUCGUCUCCCCCUUCAGUAAUGGUCUUGACUAGCCUUGGGAUGACUGUCUGAAAAAACCCACCGGUUUUUGGCUUAGGCAAUGUGACUCCUUCAUUGAACAGUGAAUCAAUGGCUGUGAAGUAUGGAAAUCCUAAGUCUGGAUUAAUAAGCGCUGUCUCAAGCGAAGGGAGCAACGCGUGCAGCACAGAUUUCAGGGUCUUUCCUGAAAAAGUGAGUUGUUUGACCUCUGAAAACGCUUCAUCUCUUGGUACAUACACACUGCUGCUUCUUUUUUCUGAUAAGGGGUCUGCGUUGACAUAACAAUAUGAUACAGUUAAUCGCAUAGCUCUAAUAGUUUCUCAACCAUACAACUACACAUGCUUAAGCAACAUACCAAAUAAACAAAUGGCUCAUAUAGUAAAAGUAGUAAAUAUAUUCCAUUUUCAAAACAUUACGCACAUAGUUAUUUGGGGAAUUUGGUUACCUUUUUUGGUGCGUGGCCGUCCUGUUCUGCAGCGCCUGGGAUAUGGAUGUUCUUUGCUGCCAAGGACAGGCCUAGCCAGUUCCUCUUUGCUAUCAGGAUCCCCAAGAUCAUUGUAUGUGUCAUAAUCGUAAAUCCUAUCGGAUGUUUUUCUUUCACCCUCUCCAUUUCCUCGCAAAUUUUCCAGCUCUAGUUCUCUUAGCCUCUUCAACCCACUUGGUGUCUCUGAUGGUAUGUAAGACUGCUCCAUUGUUCACAUAAAAUAAAUGAACGCACAUAAGAUUGAAGUAUAAGUAAGUUUAAGAAGCUGUAAUUACUAGAAAUUAAAGAAAGUAUUAAGGAUGUAAACCUUGUUAGUGAAAAAGAUUCUCUUCUGUGGAUUGUCAAACUUGGCAUGAACCCAAGAAUUGCAUGGCACAUUAACAGAGCCAUUUGGGAAGCCCUGGAGGUCGAUGGUCUUGAUGAAGAUCUCGUUGUGGUGCUCAUUCUCUACCUCAAUUGCUCCAACCGCUCCAAAACCUGCUGGGAUUGUGAAAUUACUCUCAUAUAUCACCUCAUCAUCUUUGUGGCUGGCUUUGUUCGCGUACCCCUUGAUCCUGUCCUUCUCCAACCCCGUCCCUACAAGAAAAUCCAUUUUACAAAUAUAUAAUCAGUAAAUUACAUAUGUAGGUCUUAUCAUAGUAAAAAAAUGUGUAAGAUUAGGAGUAUGAACAUUUAAAUGGAAUACAAAUAAUUCUAUUUUGUCCAAACAAAACCUUCAUAGUUUGACCAUAACCAUCAAAUUGUUCCAGCGUCACUUGAUUUUGAUAUAAAUUACUGUAUUAAUCAAGCAACAAAAUUGCUGUUACUGAAAAACAAUUCUUUUUAAAAGGAAAAAUAGAGGUGGAGUAGUGUCAUGUCGGAUUCAAGUAGUGCCGAGUUAUCAAACAGGUCAAAAAUCUCCAACCCAAUAUAACUCGUUUAAGUAUAUGUUCAAUCCAAACAUGACCCGUUUAUUAAACGAGUAACACGACAUGACCCAUUUAACCCUUUUAUUAAAUGGGCCGGGUUGAAUUAUUAUUUUGAUUAAUCUAUUAACGCGUUUAACCCAUUUAACACAUAUUUCUUGACGAAAAAAAUAAAUUGUACUUUGUUUAAACCCUUUUAACCCAUAAUCUUAUUUAAUAUAUUAAAUAUUCAUAUCUAUCAAUAAUGUAACUCAUAUAUUGUAGGAAAAAAAAAUGUAACUCAUAUAUACUAAGAGACUUAUGAUAUAAUCUUGAAAAUAUUAUACAAACAGACAAAUUUAAUGUUAAAAAGAAUUUUUUUAACCCUAUAAAAUUUAAACUAACAAAAUUAAACAUGUUAAAUGUGACGGGUUGUAAACGGGUUGAGCAGCUUGAUAAACGAUGAUGAGUUGACCCAAACUCCACCUAUUUUUUUUUUAUCAUGCACAAUUUUAUUAAAUGUGACGGAUUGAUCCGCACAAUUUUACGUUGAUUAUAAGUCGUUUACUGGAUGGUGUGGGGAAUUACAAGUUACAACCCCUACUUUGAGGACAUAUUAUUUGAUACAAAAAUGACACAAUAGAUAUUUUACUCUCUUUGGUUAAGAAAAAGAAUUCACUUAAUAGUAACGUAAAGUAAGAAGAAGGCUAGAAGGAGAAAAUGAAGGAUGAGGGAGAGAGCAAAAGAAGAUGACAUAAUAGAUAUUUUAGGUAAACUGCUGAUUGGCUGAUUUGAAUCUCCUCCAAAUUUAUUUUCUUUUUAUUAAAAAAAAAAGGCUAUUUUUUGAAUGGCUGACUUUUGGCUACUCAAAGACCCAAGGAACAAUGAACACUUAAUUAUUAUUAGAGUAAUGCUAUUUAGACACACAACAUUGACCACCUUAACUGACCAUCUUAUGUGGCAACUGAUGUGUCAUGUCGUGUCAAUUAAUGAAUGUCGCCAUGUCAAUUAAAAAAUAAAUUAAAAAACCCUAGCAUUUUAUUUAUAACAAACAAAGAAAAAUGUAACUCUAAAUUAUUUUUGUAUAUGCAAAAUGGAACAAAAAUAAAAUUUGUGCUCAUGUAUCUUUUGGCCGAAAAAACUUAAUGUUUUCUUUUCUGAAAAGAAAAAAGAAGAAGUUAGAACCAGGCUUUUGCUUGGUAUAUCUCUAGUUUGUUGGUGAAUAAAAAAGGAGGUAAAAAAAUGAAAAUAGAAAACACUUAGAAGUUAAAAAAAAAUAAAAAAAUCUAAGGAUGAUUUGAAAACCUAUUUUUCACUUUUUUUAAAGGCUUAUUAUCACAAAACGUCCCUAAGAUUUACGAAACUAUCAGAUUGCAUCCUUAAUAUUUUUUAAUCUUGAGGACUAUUUAUGAACCCUAAACCCUUAGUUUUUUCAUUUUUAAAUUUUAUAAAUUUUAAAUUAUUUUUUAAAAACUCCAUUAGUUUGUUGAUGUGGCAUAUAUAUGGAGCCCACAUCUACAAUAAUAUAGUGUCACAUGUAUUUAAUAUAUAUUUUAUAUUUUAAAAUAAUUUAAAUUCAUAAAAUUUUAAAAAGAAAACCAAAAUUUUAUGAAUUUUAAAUUAAAAAAUAAAAAAAUUUCGUAAGGACCAUUUAUGAUAGGUGUGUGAACCUCAGGGAUGUUUUGUGAUAUAUAUGUGUGCCACGUCAGCAAACUAAUGGAGUUUUUGAAGGAACUUAACGGCAGGGACCAUUUGUGAUUGCACAUACUAACCUUGAGGACCAUGAGUGACACAAAAAAACUUUAAGGAUGCAAUCUGAUAGUUUUGUAAACCUUAGCAAUGUUUUGUGAUAAUAAGCCUUUUUUGAAAACUGAAAACGAAAAUUAUUAUAAAAAAAUGUUUUCGGUUUUUAGAAAAAGUAAAAAUGAAAUGGUUAUCUUAUAAAAUGAGGAUUUAUAUGUUUUCUUUUCUAAAGAAAAAUAAAACUAAUUAGAAUUAGUUUUAUGCCUAUAUAUAUUUCGACGUUGUUGAAGGAUGUUGCGAGUUCAAAAAUCUCAUUAAUAAUAAUAAAUAUCAAAUAAAUUUGAUUUUUUAAAUUUUUCAGUGAAUGAAGGGAAUAAAUUCGUGUGCAAUUAGUAGUGCUUACUGGGGUCAAGCUCGGCACUAACAAGCUCCAAAAGAAGGCUUUUGCCGAACAAAUCGGUAAAGCCAUCGAGGGGCCCAGUCACUAUGCUGGAGAGGAGCCCUCCUGCUGUUUCCUGCACUGUAACCACAGCCUUCACACUAACUGACUUGUUCUCUGUUGAGGUUGUAGGUACGGUGGCGGUGACAGCUGAUGCAGACGAUCCGAGCUGAUCAUCAGAACUGGCACGGAUCACCACGCAGGAGGAGGAGUUUUUCUUAUUAUUAUGAUUUUGACAGACAGGAUGGCGUGGAAGGGUGUUGAUGAGGGAAGGGCUUCCACGCCUGAUCAGAUAAUUGGUAUGAAUGGAGGAUUUUGGUAAGAGAGAGAAGGAUGGAGCAUGGUUGAGUUUUUG